rnacentral:lncRNA from 12 species
GUGUCAGGCACUGUGCUGGGGAUAUAGCGGUGGACAAGAAAAACACGGUUGCCCUGCUCGGAGACGGGUGCAUUUCAGGAAGGUUGCUGGACUGAGGGGUCAGCAUUUAAGAAACACAAGUGUGCAUCGGUCUCAGAAACACCCCUCACCAGUAGUCAACCAGCAUUCCAGUUCAAGGCCUAUUUCUUUUGGGUCUUAAAAUCCAAGAUGACUUCCAGGCUCACCCGAGGACCCACUGCAGAGCUUGGGGGAACCUUCAUGAUCUCCUCAAACUAGCAUUUUAGUCCUGGUAGUCCUGGAGACAUGAGCCAGUCUAAAAGGUCGACUUUACCUUUUUGUCCAAGAGGCCGUGGAAUGCUCAUGCCAACAGAUGCUUGGAGAAUGAGGAAACUGAGGGUGAGUGACUUGCCCAUACCACGGAUCCCACGGAUCGAUCCAGUAGGCCGCAACGUUGGAUGUAAGCCAGCCCACGCAGACUCCCUGGCCUGCUGACUCCCCCAUGGGUGACACCGCUCCAUCGCCCCGUUGAUGCUGGGGAGAGUCCCCCUGACUUCUCUGUGUUGACUGGGUUUCCAUUCCUUGAGGCCACACCGUCAGGAGCUGCUGCUGGCCUGCUAUGUCAAAGCAAGAAGACACCCUUCCUGGUGAGGGGCAGCGGCUCCCUCAGCCUGUCAGAGGGACAGUUCAUGCUGUGCUCAGGGUGGAGGCCACAGAGGCCUCGAUAGCACCAGCCUUGACUCUACCUAAAGUCCUCCCCUGGGGACAGGAUUGGUUGUUUGAUGUGUCCUCGAAGGGAACGUGUUUUACUCACCCCCGUGUGGUCCUGGUCCCACGUUCUCAAGGUGAAUGGACUGAAUGGGGGUUGAAAGUCCCACAGAGAAUCUACAGGAUUCCAUUUGACAUUGACUGCAGAUUCCUUCAUUCACCCAGCGUGUGUUCACGGAGGGGCCACAGCGAGCCAGACGCCGUUGGGCGCAGCCAUAGAACAGACACUCCCUGUUCCAGCACGGAGGCUGUCAGCUUUCCAGCAGCUCUGCGUGUUGGCAGCUCUCAGCUGUGUCCCUCUGUGGGAAUGUCCUCAGCUGAAAAGAGUGCCUAG